rnacentral:rRNA from 1 species
UACGUAGGGUCCAAGCGUUAAUCGGAAUUACUGGGCGUAAAGCGUGCGCAGGCGGUUGUGUAAGUCAGAUGUGAAAUCCCCGGGCUCAACCUGGGAAUUGCAUUUGAGACUGCACGGCUAGAGUGUGUCAGAGGGGGGUAGAAUUCCACGUGUAGCAGUGAAAUGCGUAGAGAUGUGGAGGAACACCAGUGGCGAAGGCGGCCAUCUGGGACAACACUGACGCUGAAGCACGAAAGCGUGGGGAGCAAACAGG